AAUCCGUGAUGUGGGCACUUUCUGAUUAGACUUUUGAAUCUCUCCCAUGCAUCAUAGAGUGAUUCCUCGUCUUUUUGCUUGAAAGUAGAGAUUUCAUUUCGGUACU